rnacentral:rRNA from 1 species
AGAGUUUGAUCCUGGCUCAGGACGAACGCUGGCGGCGUGCUUAACACAUGCAAGUCGAACGAUGAAGUGGAGCUUGCUCCCCGGAUUAGUGGCGAACGGGUGAGGAACACGUGAGAAACCUGCCUCGGAUUUUGGGAUAACAAAUGGAAACGUUUGCUAAUACCAAAUAACGUCGGAGAGUCACAUGACUUUCUGACGAAAGGAAUUCCGAUUCGAGAGGGUCUCGCGGCCUAUCAGCUUGCUGGCGGGGUAAUGGCCUACCAAGGCAACGACGGGUAGCUGGUCUGAGAGGAUGGUCAGCCACACUGGGACUGAGACACGGCUCAGACUCCUACGGGAGGCAGCAGUGGGGAAUCUUGCGCAAUGGGCGAAAGCCUGACGCAGCAACGCCGCGUGCGGGAAGAAGGCUUUCGGGCCGUAACCGCUUUCAGCAGAACGAAAACGACGUAUCUGCAGAAGAAGGAGCGGCCAACUAUGUGCCAGCAGCGCGGUGAUACAUAGCUUUCAAGCGUUGUUCGGAUUUAUUGGGCGUAAAGAGUUUCGUAGCGGUUCGAGUAAGUCGGGUGUGAAAAUUCUGGGCUCAAUCUCAGAGACGCUACUCUGAUACUGCUUAAACUUGAGUUCGAUAGGUGGAGCGGUGAAAUGCGUAGAUAUCUAUCGGAACGCCAACGGUGAAGACAGGUGACUGGGCCAAAUCUGACGCUGAGGCACGAAAGCGUGGGGAGCAAACGGGAUUAGAUACCCCGGUAGUCCACGCUGUAAACGAUGCAUACUUGGUCGGAGCGGUUUGACUCCGUUCCGGCCGUAGGAAAACUGAUGAGUAUGCCGCCUGGGGAGUACGGUCGCAAGAUUAAAACUCAAAGGAAUUGACGGGGGCUCACACAAGCGGUGGAGCAUGUGGCUUAAUUCGAAGCAACGCGAAGAACCUUAUCUAGGCUUGACAUGCACGGAUAAAACCUAUGAAAGUAGGCGUACACCCGCAAGGGCGGAACGUGCACAGGUGCUGCAUGGCUGUCGUCAGCUCGUGCUGUGAAGUGUCGGGUUAAGUCCCUCAACGAGCGCAACCCCUGUCGCUACUUGCUAACGCGUAAUGGCGAGGACUGUAGCGAGACUGCCGGUGUCAAACCGGAGGAAGGUGGGGAUGACGUCAAGUCCUCAUGGCCUUUAUGUCUAGGGCUGCACACGUGCUACAAUGGUAUGUACAGAACGAUGCAAGACCGCAAGGUGGAGCAAAUCGCUAAAGCAUACCCCAGUUCAGAUUGCGGGCUGAAAUUCGCCCGCAUGAAGUUGGAAUCGCUAGUAAUCGCGGAUCAGCUACGCCGCGGUGAAUAUGUUCCUGAGCCUUGUACACACCGCCCGUC